CCCAAUAAAAAAAGAAAAAAAAACACCCCGGCCCAGGCUAAUCCCCAACCUCCCCACUCAUCAUGGGUCGAACCCAGCAACCGCCGUCGUGCCCACUCCCCAGAUCUCCCCGCCGCCGUGCGCCCUCCCCGGGCACCCGGCCGCCGCGCGCCAUCCCACGGCCCUCACCUACAUCCCGUCGCGCCUCCUCCUCUUCCCCUGCUUUCUUCCUCGGCGCCGUCCUCGGCCUCCACGCAAAGCAGCCGCCGCAUCGUGAUCCACCCAUUGGAGACACCCGCGCCCGUGCGCCGCCUAGGCCUUGCCGUUCCAGACCCCCGUGCCACUCACCGCCGGGAUUCGGCGACACGGCCGCCUCAAGCCUCCACCACUUGCCUCCGCUGCUCUCCGUGUUCCACCCUCCCCUCCGGUGAGCCUCCUCCUGACCUCAGCCUUCCUCUUCUCCUUCUCUACCUCCGGUGAGCUCUGCUUGAUCCUCCUGCUCGUUGCCGCCCCUUGCCACCUAGCUCCUCUUGUGCGCCGCCCGACCACCAUCUCUCCGGCCGCCGUUCUAAUCACCCACUGUUUCCACCUCUGUACUAAUCCAUCGUCCACCUCGUGUCAGACAUCGACAGCGACAUCAAACUGGGAAGUCAGGUGCCUCUCCUCCUUUCUCUCCCCUUUGCUGCUGAAAUGGAUGCUCAGUCCCUCCUCUACAUGUGUGUUUGAACUGCACAGCCCGGAGGUGCUCACUGCUGUACUCCGGCCAUCCUAUCCUGCCGGACAAGUUGGCCGCCCGCACCACUUCGUCGAGCGCUAGGGUUCUCCCAGUGUGAGAGCACACACAGGCAGCCGCACUUUGACUCCCCUACCCACAGGCUAGGAGAAGUCCAUGUAUUACUACUCGUGGGGAAUGUUCGCUUUGUAUAAAAAUAUAGAAAAUUAUGGAAGUUCGAUGCUAAUGCCUGUGAGGCGGAAGCUUUUUUCAUUUGUUUCUUUUUUGCAAGAUGAAACAUUUGUCAUUUUAUGUAAGCCAAAAAAAUUGUGGAUGUGAUAUGUGUGUGCGCGUGCGUCAUACACUGAAUUGAAAACUAUUUUUUGUCAUGUGUGUUUUCCAUAUUGGUUUCA